CACUAGUGAUUCUCCUGGAAACGGGUGGUAAUGCCGGAUGCUCCAGUUGGAUGCAUGUCCUUCUGGGAAAGAUUAUAUCGGUAUGGGAUGGGGUCGCGUCCUAUCAGGUAGUCGGCGGGGUAACGGCCCACCGAGCCUACGACGGGUAGCCGGCCUGAGAGGGCGACCGGCCACAUUGGGACUGAGAUACGGCCCAGACUCCUACGGGAGGCAGCAGUGGGGAAUAUUGCACAAUGGGCGCAAGCCUGAUGCAGCGACGCCGCGUGCGGGAUGACGGCCUUCGGGUUGUAAACCGCUUUUGAUCGGGAGCAAGCCUUCGGGUGAGUGUACCUUUCGAAUAAGCACCGGCUAACUACGUGCCAGCAGCCGCGGUAAUACGUAGGGUGCAAGCGUUAUCCGGAAUUAUUGGGCGUAAAGAGCUCGUAGGCGGUUUGUCGCGUCUGGUGUGAAAGUCCAUCGCUUAACGGUGGAUCUGCGCCGGGUACGGGCAGGCUAGAGUGUGGUAGGGGAGACUGGAAUUCCCGGUGUAACGGUGGAAUGUGUAGAUAUCGGGAAGAACACCAAUCGAAU
rnacentral:rRNA from 1 species